rnacentral:piRNA from 1 species
GAGCCGGUGAGCUACCAUGUCCAGGAGAGC